AGCAGCCGCGGUAAUUCCAGCUCCAAUAGCGUAUAUUAAAGUUGUUGCAGUUAAAAAGCUCGUAGUUGAAUUUCGGGGUUAGCAGGUCGGUCGUGCCAUCGGUAUGAACUGGUCUCGCUGAUCCCUCCCUCUUGACGAACUGUGAUGCCAUUAAUUUGGUGUCGCAGGGAAUCAGGACUGUUACUUUGAAAAAAUUAGAGUGUUUAAAGCAGGCUCACGCUUGAAUACAUUAGCAUGGAAUAAUGAAAUAGGACGUUUGAUCCUAUUUUGUUGGCUUCUAGGAUUGACGUAAUGAUUAAUAGGGAUAGUUGGGGGCAUUAGUAUUCAAUUGUCAGAGGUGAAAUUCUUGGAUUUAUUGAAGACUAACUACUGCGAAAGCAUUUGCCAAGGAUGUUUUCAUUAAUCAAGAACGAAAGUUAGGGGAUCGAAGACGAUCAGAUACCGUCGUAGUCUUAACCAUAAACUAUGCCGACUAGGGAUCGGAUGAUGUUAAUUUUUAAUGACUCU
rnacentral:rRNA from 1 species